rnacentral:rRNA from 1 species
UUGGAGGGCAAGUCUGGUGCCAGCAGCCGCGGUAAUUCCAGCUCCAAUAGCGUAUAUUAAAGUUGUUGCAGUUAAAAAGCUCGUAGUUGAAUUUCGGGAUUGACGUGAUGGUCAUGCCUUAAGGGGUAUGAACUGUUACUGUUGAUUUCUCACCUUCUGGAGAAACUUGAUGUCCUUUAUUGGGUGUCUUGCGGAUCCAGGACCUUUACCUUGAAAAAAUUAGAGUGUUUAAAGCAGGCAUUUUUGCUCGAAUACAUUAGCAUGGAAUAAUAGAAUAGGACGGCAUGGUUCUAUUUUGUUGGUUUCUAGGAUCACCGUAAUGAUUAAUAGGGAUAGUUGGGGGCAUUAGUAUUCAAUUGUCAGAGGUGAAAUUCUUGGAUUUAUUGAAGACUAGCUACUGCGAAAGCAUUUGCCAAGGAUGUUUUCAUUAAUCAAGAACGAAAGUUAGGGGAUCGAAGACGAUCAGAUACCGUCGUAGUCUUAACCAUAAACUAUGCCGACUAGGAAUCAGACGAUGUUAAUUUUUUAAUGACUCGUUUGGCACCUUAUGGGAAACCAAAG